AGAUAUAAAGGUGAAGAGAUUAAAAUUCAAGCAUGGGAAAGUCAGCAGAAAGCAAAACUAGAAGCAGAGAUCCGGAAAAUAGAGGUAUUUUAAUGGCCUUUUGAUUGUCCACAUGUAUUUAUAGCUCUAAGCCCUAACAUGAUUUUAGUUUUUGUCUGCAUUCUUGUUUAAUAGAAUGAACAGUAGCCUAGAUCAUUUGAAAAUUGCAAGAAGGCCUAAAAUCUUAGUUAAUUCUUUUCAAGUUUAGGUGAAAUAUAGGCAUCACUCAUCCUUAGACUGCUAUGUAGUGGGCAGAUAUUUUACUGAGUUGUCAGAAAUCCAUAAAUUUUCAGGCCCAAGUAGACAAAAUGCGAGCCCAAGCUCAAGCAAAGAUGGUAAAGAAGAUCUCCAUGGCAGGGCAACGGUCAGAAGAAAAACACGCUGCAGCAGAAGCCAGGAAAAACAGGGAUGCAGAAAAAACUGCAGCCCAAGCAGAGUCUAUACGUCAGACAGGACGAAUGCCAUCAUCCCAUUACAUGUGCUGUGGUUGGUUGUCAUAAAGCUGAAAACAUCAAAUAUUCAAGUGGAAAGAAUUUGCUCAUACUCAUUGAGCCAAAGUGGCAUCUCUUGUACUUCGUUUUUUCCUUUCAAAAUUCAUUCGAGUGUUGUCCACUUGUCCUGUAUGUUGCUCAGUCUUUGUAUCUAAUGGAGUGACCUUAGUUUGCAAGUUAGUAUGUGAAUCUUCUCUGCAUUUUCUGUAACAUUAACUUCAUUCAAACACAAAGUACGAACACCUUGAACAAGUAAAGAAAACUGAUCCUAAAACUUACAACUAACCCUCAAAAUACCCGUUUAAGGUCUGAAUAUUUGGAUUUUGGAUGAUGUGUUGCACUAGAACAUUGCAACAUAGAGACGGCCAUGAAUGAUUAAGGUUUUUGUGACCCAAGAGAUAACAAAGAUUGGCCCAGUACGGCAGCCCCAACUUGAGAAACAAGGUCGACUUGUGAGAAGGUCGAAGAUCUAAGUUGAUUCGGUUCGGAAUCAAAAUUGAAACUUUUCAAUCUAAAAAUGAAAUUGAACUAAAAUUGAUCAAAAUUAGAUUUAAAGAAACGGUCUUAAAUCUAACCAAGACUGACCAGUUUGGUUUGCUGAAAUUUCAGGCUGAAACUGAAUUUUUCGAAUGAAUAAAAAACUUAAAAGAUUUCUUGAAUUGCUCCUAAUGAAUCAACAAAUUAUUAUUACUAUUAUUUUGGAAAAAGAGACCUAAAAGCUCCAAAAAGAAACCUAAGCAGAAGAAAAGCGAACCAG
rnacentral:misc_RNA from 1 species